UACGAAGGGGGCUAGCGUUGCUCGGAAUCACUGGGCGUAAAGGGUGCGUAGGCGGGUCUUUAAGUCAGGGGUGAAAUCCUGGAGCUCAACUCCAGAACUGCCUUUGAUACUGGCGAUCUCGAGUCCGGGAGAGGUGAGUGGAACUGCGAGUGUAGAGGUGAAAUUCGUAGAUAUUCGCAAGAACACCGUUGGCGAAGGCGGCUCUCUGGGACGGUACUGACGCUGAGACGCGAAAGCGUGGGGAGCGAACAGG
rnacentral:rRNA from 1 species